GACGAACGCUGGCGGCGUGCUUAACACAUGCAAGUCGAACGAAGUGGCGAACGGGUGAGUAACGCGUAAUCAACCUGCCCUUCAGAGGGGGACAACAGUUGGAAACGACUGCUAAUACCGCAUACUGACUGAGGGGUUUGCGGUUGAUUAGCUAGUUGGAGGGGUAACGGCCCACCAAGGCGAUGAUCAGUAGCCGGUCUUGGAGGAUGAACGGCCAAAGUGGGAAUGGGAAACGGCCCAGACUCCUACGGGAGGCAGCAGUGGGGAAUCUUCCGAAAUGGACGAAAGUCUGACGGAGCAACGCCGCGUGAGUGAUGACGGCCUUCGGGUUGGAAAGCUCUGUUAAUCGGGACGCGGUACCGGAAUAGAAAGCCACGGCUAACUACGUGCCAGCAGCCGCGGUAAUAC
rnacentral:rRNA from 1 species